AUACGUAGGUGGCAAGCGUUGUCCGGAAUUACUGGGUGUAAAGGGCGUGUAGGCGGGGACGCAAGUCAGAUGUGAAAUUCCGGGGCUCAACCCCGGCACUGCAUCUGAAACUGUGUCUCUUGAGUGCUGGAGAGGAAAGCGGAAUUCCUAGUGUAGCGGUGAAAUGCGUAGAUAUUAGGAGGAACACCAGUGGCGAAGGCGGCUUUCUGGACAGUAACUGACGCUGAGGCGCGAAAGCGUGGGUAGCGAACAGGAUUAGAUACCCUGGUAGUCCACGCCGUAAACGAUGGAUACUAGGUGUAGGAGGUAUCGACCCCUUCUGUGCCGGAGUUAACACAAUAAGUAUCCCACCUGGGGAGUACGGCCGCAAGGUUGAAACUCAAAGGAAUUGACGGGG
rnacentral:rRNA from 1 species